UACGUAGGGACCAAGCGUUGUUCGGAUUUACUGGGCGUAAAGGGCGCGUAGGCGGCGCGGUAAGUCACUUGUGAAAUCUCUGAGCUUAACUCAGAACGGCCAAGUGAUACUGCAGUGCUAGAGUGUGGAAGGGCAAUCGGAAUUCUUGGUGUAGCGGUGAAAUGCGUAGAUAUCAAAGAGGAACACCUGUGGCGAAGGCGGGUCUCUGGACCGAUACUGACGCUGAGGAGCGAAAGCGUGGGGAGCGAACAGG
rnacentral:rRNA from 1 species